rnacentral:misc_RNA from 1 species
AAGUCGUAACAAGGUUUCCGUAGGUGAACCUGCGGAAGGAUCAUUAUUGAAUAAGCUUGGUUGGGUUGUUGCUGGCUCUUAGGGGCAUGUGCACGCCUAACACCAAUCUUCUUACCACCUGUGCACCUUUUGUAGACCUGGAUAUCUCUCGAGGAAACUCGGUAUGAGGACUGCUGUGCGUCAAAGCCGGCUUUCCUUACAUUUCCGGUCUAUGUCUUCAUAUAUACACCAUUUGCAUGUCUACGAAUGUUAUUUAUCGGACUUGACUGUCCAAUAAACCUUAUACAACUUUCAACAACGGAUCUCUUGGCUCUC